AUUGAACGCUGCGGCAUGCCUUACACAUGCAAGUCGAACGGUAACGGGUUAAGCCGACGAGUGGCGAACGGGUGAGUAAAGUAUCGGAACGUGCCCAAUCGUGGGGGAUAACGUAGCGAAAGUUACGCUAAUACCGCAUAAGAUCUACGGAUGAAAGCGGGGGAUCGCAAGACCUCGCGCGAGUGGAGCGGCUGAUAUCAGAUUAGGUAGUUGGUGAGGUAAAGGCUCACCAAGCCUGCGAUCUGUAGCUGGUCUGAGAGGACGACCAGCCACACUGGGACUGAGACACGGCCCAGACUCCUACGGGAGGCAGCAGUGGGGAAUUUUGGACAAUGGGGGAAACCCUGAUCCAGCCAUGCCGCGUGCAGGAUGAAGGCCUUCGGGUUGUAAACUGCUUUUGUACGGAACGAAAGGCUCUGCCCUAAUACGGUGGAGAUAUGACGGUACCGUAAGAAUAAGCACCGGCUAAC
rnacentral:rRNA from 1 species